rnacentral:rRNA from 1 species
UGGUGGAGUGAUUUGUCUGGUUAAUUCCGUUAACGAACGAGACCUCGACCUGCUAAAUAGUUCAGCGAAUCCUAGAUUCGUCUGAUACUUCUUAGAGGGACUUUGUCCUUAUCGGACAAGGAAGUGCGAGGCAAUAACA